CUUGACCUCAAAUCAGGCGGGACUACCCGCUGAACUUAAGCAUAUCAU
rnacentral:rRNA from 1 species